CUGCACGCGCAUUUUGUUGAUUUUAGUGGUGGAGCGCAAACUUCUGCGGUGCGUUGAAAUUUCUUUCUCAAAGAAAGCUAAAUCAGGCCACCAAAAAAAAAGGAAAGACUAAAUGAGGGGAAACGAUUUGUGACUGACUUCUUUUGAAAGAAAGGCUCUCUGUCUCCAGCAUCUCUUCAGUUUUCUCCAUCCAACAAAUGGUCCCACGUCUUUGGGAGAGAUGAUGAACUGCGCAUCAUCAUCCUUAACAUACUCACUGUCAUCAUAUUCAAUGUCCAUUAGGAUGUCAGUGAGUUGUGGACUGAGGUAGUUGUUAUCACCUCAGUAAAUAGACAACAUCUACGGAGAGCAGAUCUAACUAGCAGUGGAUUAAAGAAUGAAAAGACAAAGAGAGUUAAGGUGAUGAAGCUGAGUGUAUUGGAGCAACAUGUAUCACCAUCGGUCCAGACACAGAUGAAUGAAAGGAUUUGACCCUCUCAGCUGCUGAUGUAUGUGGAGCAACUGGUGUUGGCAAAGGAGACGAUGUUUCAAUGCACAAUGGAGAUGCAUCUUGGCCAAAGCAAGACAUGCUAAUACCUGAGAUAAGAGGACAUGUAUACCUCAGUGAAGGGUGACCAGAGACAGCAGGGUGAGAGACUGACAGAAUCAACACUAUCAACAGAAAAGACUCAUCUGAUAUGGACACGAUGAUCAGCUUGUAUUUGGAACUUGAACUGCUUUAGCAACGACUGACUUGUGUUGCUUUUGCCACCAGGAAAAACACUGAAGAGGAGAAAACGAGAAAAAAAUAAGCUUUUUGGG